AUGAACGCUGGCGGCGUGCCUAAUCCAUGCCAGUCGAGCGAACGGACGAGAAGCUUGCUUCUCUGAUGUUAGCGGCGGAUGGGUGAGUAACACGUGGAUAACCUACCUAUAAGACUGGGAUAACUUCGGGAAACCGGAGCUAAUACCGGAUAAUAUUUUGAACCGCAUGGUUCAAAAGUGAAAGACGGUCUUGCUGUCACUUAUAGAUGGAUCCGCGCUGCAUUAGCUAGUUGGUAAGGUAACGGCUUACCAAGGCAACGAUGCAUAGCCGACCUGAGAGGGUGAUCGGCCACACUGGAACUGAGACACGGUCCAGACUCCUACGGGAGGCAGCAGUAGGGAAUCUUCCGCAAUGGGCGAAAGCCUGACGGAGCAACGCCGCGUGAGUGAUGAAGGUCUUCGGAUCGUAAAACUCUGUUAUUAGGGAAGAACAUAUGUGUAAGUAACUGUGCACAUCUUGACGGUACCUAAUCAGAAAGCCACGGCUAACUACGUG
rnacentral:rRNA from 1 species